AAGAAAGAAUGCAAGAACUGCUAACUCCUGCCUCCAUACCUAAAACUAUGGCUUUCUUA
rnacentral:tRNA from 1 species